rnacentral:rRNA from 1 species
UUGACGGGGCCCGCACAAGCGGUGGAGCAUGUGGUUUAAUUCGAUGCAACGCGAAGAACCUUACCUGGUCUUGACAUAGUAAGAACUUUCCAGAGAUGGAUUGGUGCCUUCGGGAACUUACAUACAGGUGCUGCAUGGCUGUCGUCAGCUCGUGUCGUGAGAUGUUGGGUUAAGUCCCGCAACGAGCGCAACCCUUUUCCUAUUUGCCAGCGGGUUAAGCCGGGAACUUUAAGGAUACUGCCAGUGACAAACUGGAGGAAGGCGGGACGACGUCAAAUCAUCAUGCCCCUUAUGACCUGGGCUACACACGUGCUACAAUGGUUGGUACAACGAGUUGCGAGUCGGUGACGGCGAGCUAAUCUCUUAAAGCCAAUCUCAGUUCGGAUUGUAGGCUGCAACUCGCCUACAUGAAGUCGGAAUCGCUAGUAAUCGCAGAUCAGCACGCUGCGGUGAAUACGUUCCCGGGCCUU